UACAGAGGUCCCAAGCGUUGUUCGGAUUCACUGGGCGUAAAGGGUGCGUAGGCGGUCGGGUAAGUUUGAUGUGAAAUCUCUGGGCUUAACCCAGAAAUGGCAUUGAAUACUAUUCGGCUAGAGAGUCGGAGGGGGGACUGGAAUACUUGGUGUAGCAGUGAAAUGCGUAGAUAUCAAGUGGAACACCAGUGGCGAAGGCGGCGAUCUGGGAAGAUACUGACGCUGAGGUGCGAAAGCGUGGGGAGCAAACAGG
rnacentral:rRNA from 1 species